GAUGAACGCUGGCGGCGUGCCUAAUACAUGCAAGUCGAGCGAACAGACGAGGAGCUUGCUCCUCUGACGUUAGCGGCGGACGGGUGAGUAACACGUGGAUAACCUACCUAUAAGACUGGGAUAACUUCGGGAAACCGGAGCUAAUACCGGAUAAUAUAUUGAACCGCAUGGUUCAAUAGUGAAAGACGGUUUUGCUUUCACUUAUAGAUGGAUCCGCGCCGCAUUAGCUAGUUGGUAAGGUAACGGCUUACCAAGGCGACGAUGCGUAGCCGACCUGAGAGGGUGAUCGGCCAAACGGGAACUGAGACACGGUCCAGACUCCUACGGGAGGAAGCAGAAGGGAAUCUUCCGAAAUGGGCGAAAGCAUGACGGAGCAACGCCGCGUGAGUGAUGAAGGUCUUCGGAUCGUAAAACUCUGUUAUUAGGGAAGAACAAAUGUGUAAGUAAAUAUGCACGUAUUGACGGUAACUAAUCAGAAAGCCACGGCUAACUACGUG
rnacentral:rRNA from 1 species